rnacentral:rRNA from 1 species
GAUGAACGCUGGCGGCGUGCCUAAUACAUGCAAGUCGAGCGAACGGACGAGGAGCUUGCUCCUCUGACGUUAGCGGCGGACGGGUGAGUAACACGUGGAUAACCUACCUAUAAGACUGGGAUAACUUCGGGAAACCGGAGCUAAUACCGGAUAAUAUAUUGAACCGCAUGGUUCAAUAGUGAAAGACGGUUUUGCUGUCACUUAUAGAUGGAUCCGCGCCGCAUUAGCUAGUUGGUAAGGUAACGGCUUACCAAGGCAACGAUGCGUAGCCGACCUGAGAGGGUGAUCCGCCACACUGGAACUGAGACACGGUCCAGACUCCUACGGGAGGCAGCAGUAGGGAAUCUUCCGCAAUGGGCGAAAGCCUGACGGAGCAACGCCGCGUGAGUGAUGAAGGUCUUCGGAUCGUAAAACUCUGUUAUUAGGGAAGAACAAAUGUGUAAGUAACUAUGCACGUCUUGACGGUACCUAAUCAGAAAGCCACGGCUAACUACGUG